GACGAACUGUCCUAACGUUGUUCGGAAUCACUGGGCUUAAAGGGCGCGUAGGCGGUCGAUCAAGUCAGGGGUGAAAUCCUGCAGCUUAACUGUAGAAGUGCCUUUGAUACUGGUCGUCUCGAGGGAGGUAGGGGUGUGUGGAACUUCCGGUGGAGCGGUGAAAUGCGCAGAUAUCAGGAGGAACACCGGUGGCGAAGGCGGGACUCUGGGCCGAUACUGACGCUGAGGAGCGAAAGCGUGGGGAGCAAACAGG
rnacentral:rRNA from 1 species